GAUGAACGCUGGCGGCGUGCCUAAUACAUGCCAGUCGAGCGAACAGACGAGGAGCUUGCUCCUCUGACGUUAGCGGCGGACGGGUGAGUAACACGUGGAUAACCUACCUAUAAGACUGGGAUAACUUCGGGAAACCGGAGCUAAUACCGGAUAAUAUAUUGAACCGCAUGGUUCAAUAGUGAAAGACGGUUUUGCUGUCACUUAUAGAUGGAUCCGCGCCGCAUUAGCUAGUUGGUAAGGUAACGGCUUACCAAGGCAACGAUGCGUAGCCGACCUGAGAGGGUGAUCGGCCACACUGGAACUGAGACACGGUCCAGACUCCUACGGGAGGCAGCAGUAGGGAAUCUUCCGCAAUGGGGGAAAGUUUGACGGAGCAACGCCGCGUGAGUGAUGAAGGUCUUCGGAUCGUAAAACUCUGUUAUUAGGGAAGAACAAAUGUGUAAGUAAAUAUGCACGUCUUGACGGUACCUAAUCAGAAAGCCACGGCUAACUACGUG
rnacentral:rRNA from 1 species